AAUAAAAUUAUUUAUUUAUAAUAAAAAAUAACUUAAUAAUUAAUUAAUUUUUCAAAAAAUUGAACUGUAAAGGUUUUUUAUUAAAAAGAAAAUAGUAAUUUUUUGUACCUUUGGUAUUAGGGAUUUUCUAAAAAAAAUAAGUAUUUAUUUUUCUCGAAACUAACUGAUUUAUAAUUAUAAAUAAUUUCUGUUUCAAAAGAAAUUUAAAUAUAAUUAUAGAAGUGAAAUUCUUGUCAAAGUUAGAGAUAACUAGUUAUUUUAAAAAAUUGUAUAUUUUCUUAUAAAUCUUUAUAAUUAAUAAAUUUUAUAAGAUAAAUUCUAAGGGAUAAGCUUUGGAAUUUUAAUUUAAAAAUUAAAAAUUUUUCUUAAAAAGAUUUAAAAUUUUUCUUUUAUUGUUAUAAAUAAUUAUAAAUAUAUUUAUAUAUAUAUUAAAUUAGCUUAAUAAUUAAAAAAAACUGUUUUUUUAAACUAAAAUGAAAAUAUUAGUAUAAGAAUGUAUAAAUAAAUAUAUAUAUAUAUAUGUAUAUAUAUUAUUAAAUUAUAAUUAAUUUUAAAGAACUCGGCAAAAAAAAUUUUUCUGACUGUUUAAUAAAAACAAUGUAUUUAGAUGUAAUUAAAUAUAAAUCCUGCUCAAUGUUCACAUAAAUUGCUGUAGUAUUUUGACUAUACAAAGGUAUUGUAAUAAGACUUUAAUUGAGUGCUAAGAGAAUGGAAUUUCAGGAAAAAUCUUUUUUUAAAUUAAAAAUAGAAGUUAUUUUUAUUUGUGAAGAAACAAUAAUGUAAAUUUAGGACAAGAAGACCCUAUGAAUUUUUAUAUCUUUUAUAAAUUUAGGUGAAUAAAAGAUAUUUAAUUGGGGCGAUUAUAAAAUAUUUGUAACUUUUUAUAAAGUAAAAAGUUGAUCCAUUAUUAAUGAUAAUAUGAAUAAAUACUCUAGGGAUAACAGCGUAAUAAUUUUGGAUAGAUCUUAUAGAUAAAAUAGUUUGCGACCUCGAUGUUGGAUUAGGAUUCUUAUUUAAUGAAGAAGUUAAAUAAAGAAGUUUGUUCAACUUUUAAAUUCCUACAUGAUCUGAGUUUAGACCGAUGUAAAUCAGGUUGGUUUCUACCUUAAUUAAAAUUAAGUUUCGAUUAGUACGAAAGGAAUUUUGAAACAAAUAACAUAUUAAAAUAAAAACGUUUUUGCAUCAAU
rnacentral:rRNA from 1 species